rnacentral:lncRNA from 1 species
AAGUACAAUUUAUUAGUAAAAUUAAGAGUCAAAAGUGAAAUAACUAAACCUUAUAUAACUCCCAAGGACUGGUAGUACAAGUUAUAAGCUACUAAGACUUAGAUUUUACAAAAGAAAAACUGAACUGAAAUAAUUACAACAUCUGUUUGGAUUGUAAAUGAAUAAGAUUGGAAUCAAAUGCUACCACGCACAAGUGAUAGCCAUAACUGGAACGCAUGUACAUCUUCAACGCCAGCUUCCACCAUGCACAGCAAUAACAACUCCAAAAUCUGCACGCAAGGUGCAGAAGUAUAGUAUAAGUACAACCGACCCCAUAUACUCAAUAAGUAUCCUAACUAAACUCGGCGAGGUAUAAGAAGUAAGAACUAUAAAUGAUACUCACCAACACCUGUACAGUUCAUAAUUUCAACAAGUAUAAAAUAGAUAUGUAAUCAAAUUAGGAAAUUCAGGUAAAACCACUUUGAUACUAAUAAUUCUUUGUCUUAAAGUGUUCUGCUCAGUCAGCAAUCCAGCAUAUAAAGAAGAUAUACAAGUAACUCAGGUAAGCAGUCGAGGAAGUUGCAAGUAAAGAAGAAAUGCAAUAACCAAAUAUCAGUCUGUUGCGGCGCGCAACCCGAUCCAAUAACAAUAACCAGCUCUCCUAGAGCUCACAUCAACCAAAAACCCACCGGUUUCUCACAAUCCGCCUGUACACCAUCAAGAGAGAAACAUAAGACGAUGACCCUAGGGGGAUGGAUCUGUAUCUACACGCUGCACGAAAAACUCACGUGCUAAUAAUAUCAACUGCACGGAUAACUCACGUGCUAUAAUAUCAAUAUCUGGAUCCGCACGAAUAACUCACGUGCUAAUAUCACAAUCCGCCCGGCAUGGUCACAAGCACAAUAUCAUAAUCCGUCCGGCAUGGUCACAUGCAUAACAACACAAUCUGCCCGGCGUGGUCACACGCAUCCAGUACAAAUCAUAUCACACAGAAGCAAGUAUACAAGAACACAUGUAUAUGAUGGAUAAAUAUCAGAUUUCAUGCUCCUAGACUGGUAUAAUUACAUGCUAAAGUGUAGGCAUGUGCAAUGUGUGUUAUCAUAGCUCAAAUUGACAAUUUAUCAUAGAAUUAGAAAUUACCAAGUUUAUUCAGUGAAUUAGCCUCUUCGUAACUUCAAACAUGGCUCAAAUAGUUCAUAACAAUGAUACAAAUAUGAGAAAUAUUAUUUCUUAAAGCAUAACUGUCAACUCUAGGCAUAUCAUAGCCUAAGCACUACCCCGAGCAUGGAUAAAUACCUCAGUGCUCCUACAUGGCUAAAACCCCUCACAUAUGGGCACCCAUAACACAUAGCUUUCACAAAUAAUUCAAGUAACUAGUGCUUCAACCAAAUUUAGAUAAGAUACUUACCUCAAACAAGCCAAAUCCAAUAUGGAACAAGCCAACCAAAACUCUACAAAUGCCAUCUCGCACGUACCGACCUUCGAACGG